GAAGAGUCUCUAGUCGAUAGAAUAAUGUAGGUAAGGGAAGUCGGCAAAUUAGAUCCGUAACUUCGGGAUAAGGAUUGGCUCUGAAGAUUGAGAUAGUCCGGCUUGAUUGGGAAACAAUAAUAUGGUUUAUGUACUCGUUCUGGGUAAAUUAGAAUGAAGUUUAUAUGUAUUUUAUAUAUAUGAAUGGAGUUUGUUCCCCGGAUAGUAAGUUACGUAUCCAAUUGCGGAACUUUCUUGCUAAUGAUAUACAAGAAUAUUUGGAUUUUUUAAAUUCAAAUUAAUUUAUAUUUAUAACGGCUAUCAAUUAACAAUCAAUUCAGAACUGGCACGGACUUGGGGAAUCCGACUGUCUAAUUAAAACAAAGCAUUGUGAUGGCCCUAACGGGUGUUGACACAAUGUGAUUUCUGCCCAGUGCUCUGAAUGUCAAAGUGAAGAAAUUCAAGUAAGCGCGGGUAAACGGCGGGAGUAACUAUGACUCUCUUAAGGUAGCCAAAUGCCUCGUCAUCCAAUUAGUGACGCGCAUGAAUGGAUUAACGAGAUUCCUACUGUCGCUAUCUACUAUCUAGCGAAACUACAGCCAACGGAAGCAGGCUGCGUAUGAAUCAAACGGGAAGAAGACCCUGUUGAGCUUGACUCCAACCGGCAGUGUAAGGAGACAUACAAAGUGUGUCAUAAUGGGAGAACUACAUUUUUUUAAUCAAUUUUGUUCAAC
rnacentral:rRNA from 1 species